UAUAUAUGAUGUCUGAAGAUGAGAUUAUAAAAUUUAUAACAACGAUUGUCUUCCUUUUUGGCAGAAGCCUUUUUUCUUGGUUUAGAUAAAUAUUCCAUGAAAAUAGAGGAAAGGUACAAAUAUUGGAGGUCAAGUUCGUAUUCUACCAAAAUGAUUUGUUUCUUGAUUAUGAAUACUUAUUGAUUUCUUGAAGUAGUCAAAUUGUGUGAACUUGAUGUUUUUAUCUAUAUACAAAAAAAGGUGAAAGGCAGAAAAGUAGUAAAUUGAUGUUUUUGUUUUAGAUUGAAAGCCUUUCGAGUACGACACUUUCGAAUUGGAUUUACGCUUGUAAAUUAUUGUCAAAAUUCAAGUAUGACAUUUUGCGAUAUCAAUGUUUCAUUAUCAUGUUUUGAAAGAUGUAGUUUGAGUUUCUCAUCAUUUGUAUAUAGUACUUAGUGUAUCAUCUUAUGGUUGAUGGUAUAAUUUUACAGCCAGGGAAUGUGAUUUAGUGAAAAUUUUCUAGGAAACGUUCAUGUAUACUUAGUCUAUAUAGUAGCGUAAAUUUAUCUUUUAGAAGUAUACAUGUAUGUAGUCAAGAAAGUACUUAAAUUUAGAUUUAUUCAUUGCAGAUGUUUUCUUGAGGUAAAUUAAUGCUUAAUUUAAAGGAGCCAUGUGAUGAAAGUACAUCUGAAUUGAUAAAUUAGCGCACCAAAAUUAGCGCAGAAGUGAUUUAGCACUUUUUGUAUAUAUACUUUCACUAUUGCACUACCUGAUUAACAUAUUUGUAUCUAGCACUCCCUUAGUCAAUGUGUACACUUACAUAGCACCAUGACAGUGCAUUUGAUUUUUGGACAUUGGGUUGUGUGAGGGACCAGGAUUUUGCCCUUCAAAAUCACAAACAUCCUGGCUCAGAAGACAUUCAAUUUACUUGAGAAAGCAAGCAAAGAGUUUUCACGGAUUAAAGAUAUCAAUCAGAUUAAAGGAACGAAUUGGUUUGAAAGAAGGAUUAAAAGUACCAAUUGGAUUCAAUAGAUUAAUACGACCAACAUGAUUUGAUUGUACGGAUUUGAUAUCAGAUUAAUCGAUUAAACAACGAAAUCCUGUAGAGGCCUUUGUUCGCUUGUCUUUUGUUGUCGACCUCACUACAGCCACA